UGCUUCAGACUUCAGAUCCUGGGUCUCUGAUGAGUGCUUUUGUACUGGAGGUGCUUAUUUUUUUUCUGGUUAAUUUGGUUUUAAAAUAAACCGUUUUCUGGUAUGUGGAAAUAGAAUACAAUAUGUAUUCAAUAUUUUUGGCCCAAAUUAGCUGGAAUUGUUUUGUGAUGCUUCUGGCUAUACACAAAACAAACCCCAAAACCACAAACAAACAAAUAAAAACAACAACAAUUAAAAGGUAGUGCUUUUGUAAAAUCCAGCCUUUUUCUUUUUUAAAUUAACUCUAGCCAGCUAAUAAAAUCCAAACUGUGUGGCUAUGCAAAUCUACUUCAAAUAAGUAUGUGUCCCCUGUUUCUAAAAUGUAUAUAAAGAUGUAUAUGGGAGUUUCUAUUUCUAGGAUUCAUUUUAAAAAUAGAUGGGAUUAUCUCUGAAAAAUAUUUUGCCUUUGUUGCAAUGCUGGCAUUCCCUAAGUUUUGUGAGCUGCCUAUUGUAUAGGGGAAUUAUGUGAUAUGGGCCAUUUAAAUGAAUUGGUAAUAUCUCUGUAAUCUCUACAGGUUUACAUGAAGCCUGGCGAGGAACAAUAUUGCCAAAAUCUAACAAAAAUAUAUUUAGACAAGUUGCGUCACACUGGCUAUGCUAAGAUACAAGACUGUUGGAUUCCUGAUACCUAAAAGACUCUAUGAUGAGGAUCUUUCAAGUUUACAGACUUCAGGAAAAUACAAGCCCAGUUUUUCCAAGCUUCUCAGUUUCUUACAUCAUCAUAUGGGAAGCUGCAUUGGUCAUAGCGUUCAAGAGCCCUGCAAGGACCCAGCACGAUGAAAACAGGUCCAUCUUGUUGGCUUUUGUCAGGUAAAAACUGUACAAAGCUUGUCUCUUAUAGUGCUUUUAGCCUGUCAGUGACCAUAUUACUUCCAUGCACAAAGCAGUUUGUGCCUCUUUAGGUGCAGAGGUCAUUUUGCACACUGGGUGUAGCUCCUAAAAUGAGCCAGAGAAGAGGGGAUAUGAGCAUGGGGGAACCGCUUCAGGAACUGUAAGGGAACCACUCCCAGCUAGUUAAAAAAUUAUUUCCAUGUGAGCUAAUACAAUUCCUAAAUCUCUUAGUGGAAACAGAGUUCAGUAUUAUCUAGCUACAUCUGGAAAGGCUCUUAGAGUAAAAUUUUUAUAACAUGGUUAUUCUAGAAGAAAAGUGGAAGCUCUGUUAACUUUCAGUCUAGCUCCCUGAAUGCUCUCACAGCUCUCAGGGUACUUUCCCAGCUCUACUAGCACCUGAAUGAUAGGAACAAAUAUUUAGAUCCAGUUGAACACACCUUGCAGUUUUUAAUGAGUUUUCUGAGUAGCCAUAGUGAACAUGUUUCUCUCAUGGACAGAUGGUGUUUAUGUGAAGGUGUUAUGUGCAUGUGUUGGGCUAAAUGUGCCUUACAGAGAGCAUCAGAGUUCUGAAUGCCCACACUCUUCAUAUAAAAGCCUUUCUCAGGUUGCUUAUGAUUUCACAGCAAUACAGCUUGAGCUAGCACUGAAGAGUUUAUGAACACCUGAUGAACAGGGCAAAGAAAAUGCUGUAUCUGUGUCAAAGUGGGGGUGCAUGCAUGUGUGUACACAUUUUGUUCAGCACAGCCACAGUUUAGUGGAGGGAGCUGAGCACAAUCAGCUGUCAGUGAUAUCACUGACCACCAUAAAAAUUGUUUAAGACCAUGCAACUUCUCCAACUCUCCUCUUGAUUUUCUUAUAUAGCAACAUCUGAAAGGAGGUGUCAGGUGGGGAAGAAUGGGAGGGAUUUUCAGUUGUCAGAAAUACUAUUAAUUUUAGAAUUAUCAGGCAAAUUAUGACCUGGUGUUUCUUUUAUUUUUUUUUCUUACCUUCCUGAAGGAACUUCAGGCAGUCUAAGUGAGAUUUAUUCUGGGCAUAGUUACCCUUAUUCAAUCUAGUCCAGACAUGUACCUUUUUCUCCAAGUCUCUUCAUUCAGUCCCUCUGUAGGUCUCCACAUACUGUGGAAUUUUCCAGUGCAGACAGGGCUGUUGUUUUGAAUGUAAAAUAGUCUGGGAAAAACACACCCCAUUUUCAGUGGCUUCUCUCCAUGAUGAAUAAAUCUAUAGAGGAUAACA
ensembl:lncRNA